rnacentral:lncRNA from 1 species
CCAAUCACUUGUUACUAUGCUAUAGUCAGAUGAUCUAUCCCAGUGAUUUGGGCAAAUCACCUCGGUGAUUUGGGCAAAUCACCACCUCUGGGCUGCCUCCCAGUAGCGCCCUGUUUUCUGUCUUGGGCUGGACAGCAGUGUCUUGAUCAGCUGUUUGGGGCAGGGGAUCCAAGGGAACCUCCUCCAUGAGAUGAACAGUAAAUCCUUCAUAAAAUUUCUUCAAACGAUGUCCAUUAACUUUGAAAACCUUGCUUGUUUGUGGACUCCGUAUGUCAACAGCCCCAUGUGGAUAGACAUGCUCAACCAAAAAUGGCCCAAUCCACCUAGACUGAAGCUUUCUAGGGAAUAAUUUGAAUCUAGAAUCAAAAAGUAAGACCUUAUCACCAACCUGGAAGUAUUUUCUGGAGAUAUUUUUGUCAUGGAAGGCUUUGGUCUUUGCUUUGUAAUCCCAAGAAGCUUCAUAUGCAUCACGCCGAAUCUCUUCAAGUUCUUGAAGUUGCAAUUUUCUGUUGG